AACGAACGUUGGCGGCAUGGAUUAGGCAUGCAAGUCGAAUGAAUGCUGGGUAGCAAUAUUCAGCGGAAAUGGCGAAAGGGGCAGUAAUACAUGGAUAACCUACCCUGGGGAUGGGCAUAGCCGGUCUAACGGCCGGGUAAUACCCAGAGAUUCGGCGAGGAGGCAUCUUUUUGCCGGGAAAUGAAUUUCGCUUCGGGAGGGGUCCAUGAGCUAUCAGCUAGUUGGUGAGGUAACGGCUCACCAAGGCAAAGACGGCUAGCGGGUGUGAGAGCACGACCCGCGCCACUGGCACUGAGACACUGGCCAGACACCUACGGGUGGCUGCAGUCGAGGAUCUUCGUCAAUGGGCGAAAGCCUGAACGAGCGAUGCCGCGUGAGCGAUGAAGGCCUUCGGGUUGUAAAGCUCAAAAGUGAAGAGAAAGGGAAACUUGAUCGAUUCACAGUAAGCUCGGGCUAAGUUCGUGCCAGCAGCCGCAGUAAAAC
rnacentral:rRNA from 1 species